rnacentral:rRNA from 1 species
CCUACGGGAGGCAGCAGUGGGGAAUAUUGGGCAAUGGGCGCAAGCCUGACCCAGCAACGCCGCGUGAAGGAAGAAGGCUUUCGGGUUGUAAACUUCCUUUAAGCGGGAAGCGCAGAAGACGGUACCUCUUGAAUAAGCCACGGCUAACUACGUGCCAGCAGCCGCGGGAAUACGUAGGUGGCCAGCGUUGUCCGGAUUUACUGGGUGUAAAGGGCGUGCAGCCGGGAAGACAAGUCAGAUGUGAAAUCCCGCGGCUCAACCGCGGAACUGCAUUUGAAACUGUUUUUCUUGAGUACCGGAGAGGUAAUCGGAAUUCCGGGUGUAGCGGUGAAAUGCGUAGAUAUAAGGAAGAACACCAGUGGCGAAGGCGGAUGACUGGACGGCAACUGACGGUGAGGUGCGAAAGCGUGGGGAGCGAACAGGAUUAGAUACCCGAGUAGUC